rnacentral:lncRNA from 1 species
AUCCUGGUGGCCUGUAGGUGAGAUAGAAGACAGAGGAUAACGGUGUUCCUGCUAGGAGGUAUUUCACCAAUUGCUUUCCACUAUUGGGAAGUUGAUUACUGGCAUGGGGCCGGGGAUGAAAAGAUGUUUUCAUUGCUAGACAACAGGAAAUGAGAAGAGCAACAGAAACCCAAGUAACAAGGUCAUCAAGAUUUGAAGACACCAGGGAUCCUAUGGGCUGCAGCCUCAACCUGAGAGCCGGAGCAAACCCUCCACCCUUAGUUGGCUUUGGAGGACAUUUUGUCACAGUACGAAAGGUAAUGUACACGCGGUUAACAUCUCUACUUAUAUCAAUUUCAUAUGUGUGUGGCAGUUCAGUAAGAUGGCCUGGGGGGGAAGAACCCAGUGUUGUGCUAGGUAGUAUCAGAUGUAACGUAAUCCCCCUUGCCCUAUACUCCUGAGAGCAAAGGACAAACACACACGUGUGUAAUCCUAUCUGCAUUCUCACGGUCAAGCUAAGGGCACAGCAAAUAGACUAAGGGACUUGUUGAACUAUGUCACUAUGUCACUAUUGCGGGAUAGGUGAUCCUUCUGAAAUCGGUUCCUUAUUCUCAACACUGGACUUAGUCAGUUACGGGCAGUAAAGUUCCGUUUAGGGGGAAGUAAAACCCAACACCUCUCAAAAUGAACAGACAGAGGGAAAUCUGUUUUCAUUUUCAUGUGGGCAACAGAAAAGAAAUGUCUUAAAUACCAUGCACAGAAUAGUAGGGCUUAAGUAAUAUCCGAGAACGAACACUUGGCCCUAGGAAGGUCCAGUGGGAGUUCCACUGAUCAGCUGGGUCAUUCUGAUAAAGCUUGGGAACUUACCAGGGGAAGAGGGAGGCACGUGACUUUAAUGUUGUAGGUGAAAUUUAGUUACAAGUUCAACUCGUGUAGCCAAAUGGGUUGGCGGAAGGCAGGGUGUGCAGAAACUCAUUAGGUAUGCAUUAAUUAAGCGGCUCAUUAUUGCAUCCAUUUGUUAAUUAAAUUUUUGAAGAAUUGCAAUUACAGCCUUUCGUCGUCACCUGGCAGACCUUCAGGCCCCAGCUGUACAAGAUGCAGAUGAGCGACUUCAGCUUUCAGACUUUAUUUUCUGGCUGUGCCCUCGGGCCUUUUUUUCUUAGAUGGUGAUCUUUUGGGCAGAAAGAUAACUGAAAGUUGACGAUUCUGACUAUGAGGAAAGGCAAUUUGGCUUCAACCUCUCCAUGUCACCCAAGGCUCUCAGAAGGAAGGGACAUUGUUAUUAAAAUUACUUCACUGUUACUGAUUGUUUUCGGGAAAUUAGCUUUUCUAGCUUGUGUUGUGUGUUGUGACAAAUGUACAGAUCCAUGUAUGUACCACUCUAAUAAAACCGCCUUGGUCAGCCACGAAAAGCCACUUUCCUAGCCCCGUGUCCCUGUCUGUGGCUUCCAACAGCCACUCAUCUGGCCUCCGCCUUUCAUUUUGAUUUUCAAGAAAGCUGUUCCAAUGGAAUCAUAUCGAAUGUAACCUUUUGAGACUUUUUCGGAGCUGGGGACCGAACCCAGGGCCUUGCGCUUCCUAGGCAAGCGCUCUACCACUGAGCUAAAUCCCCAACCCCUUGAGACUGACUUCUAAGCAGCUUUUCAAUGAGGAUAUAAAAUUAGAUCAUUUCCCUCUCUUUCUCCCUUUGGAUUCUGCACAUGGCCCUACCUUUCUCCCUCCCAGAUUCGUGGCCUCUUUUCCCUUUACUUGUUAUUGUUACAUUAUAUGUGCAUAACUAUAGAAAUACAGCCUGCUCGGUUUGUUACCUGUGUGUACCUGGGGCUGGCCACUCAGUCUCAAAUAACUGACUAUGGGGCUCGUCCCUGGGGAAGACUAAUUCUCCCACUCUCCGCAUUCUCAGUCGCUUACAGUUCUUUGUUUAGGGGUAAGGUCAUAGCACACACACUCGCACAGUUCCAAUGAAGUUAUUAUCACUUGGGCUGACAAUGCUUCUCCGAAAAGCCACAUACUGUCUAACAAAACACCCAGUAUCAGGCAUGAAAAGACUCCCUUUCAAGUGAGUCAGGGGAGUCCAAAAGAUUCCUAAAAUAUAGAACCAUUGCUGAUGCUCUACGUUGCCUCCCAGAGGUUGAGGGUAAGUCCUAUUGCUAAAGACGCCACGAAUUUUAGACAGGGCUUGGAGGAGCCAAGCAGGAUCUAACACAAAAUAGAAGAUGCUGUGCAAACUUCCAAGGGAGGGAGGCAAUCAGCAGGCCUACCUGCUACAAUGCCCAUGACCCACAACAGUGGGCAGCAUGCAUGAUACCCCGGAGAAUGUACAGUGCCGUAGCCAGCAGCAUGGGACAAGAAGGAAGAUAGGCAUGGUUAAAGGAUCUGCUUCACUGAAGAGAAAGAGGCUAAUGAGAACUCAAGGACAGCCUGUAUCAGUCUUGAAACCCUUUUAAGGAGCUGGAUUGAAGAGCAGACUUGUAGAACCAUGACAGUCCAGCUGAGGUAAACGGUUUGCUGGGGAGAGCUUUGGAAACUGACCAGGCUGUUGAAUUUGCUUCUUAGCUCUGGAGUUCAAAUGAUGCAAGACCUGCUGGUCACACAUACAUGGAAGUGAGGCAGUGCAUGUGCUGUGAAGGCAGGGGCAUUUAUGAAGACCCCCACAUACCCUGCUUGUGGA